AUUGAACGCUGGCGGCAUGCUUUACACAUGCAAGUCGAACGGUAACAGGCCGCAAGUUGCUGACGAGUGGCGAACGGGGGCGUAAUGCAUCGGAACGUGCCCAGUCGUGGGGGAUAACUACUCGAAAGAGUAGCUAAUACCGCAUACGAUCUAUGGAUGAAAGCGGGGGACCGUAAGACCUCGCGCGAUUUGAGCGGCCGAUGUCAGAUUAGGUAGUUGGUGGGGUAAAGGCUCACCAAGCCAACGAUCUGUAGCUGGUCUGAGAGGACGACCAGCCACACUGGGACUGAGACACGGCCCAGACUCCUACGGGAGGCAGCAGUGGGGAAUUUUGGACAAUGGGCGCAAGCCUGAUCCAGCAAUGCCGCGUGCAGGAAGAAGGCCUUCGGGUUGUAAACUGCUUUUGUACGGAACGAAACGGCUCUGGUUAAUACCCGGGGCUAAUGACGGUACCGUAAGAAUAAGCACCGGCUAACUACGUG
rnacentral:rRNA from 1 species